rnacentral:rRNA from 1 species
UAGGUCUAAUACCGGAUACGACCCUGUAAGGCAUCUUGUGGGGUGGAAAGUUCCGGCGGUAUGGGAUGGACCCGCGGCCUAUCAGCUUGUUGGUGGGGUAGUGGCCUACCAAGGCGACGACGGGUAGCCGGCCUGAGAGGGUGACCGGCCACACUGGGACUGAGACACGGCCCAGACUCCUACGGGAGGCAGCAGUGGGGAAUAUUGCACAAUGGGCGAAAGCCUGAUGCAGCGACGCCGCGUGAGGGAUGACGGCCUUCGGGUUGUAAACCUCUUUCAGCAGGGACGAAGCGCAAGUGACGGUACCUGCAGAAGAAGCACCGGCUAACUACGUGCCAGCAGCCGCGGUAAUACGUAGGGUGCGAGCGUUGUCCGGAAUUAUUGGGCGUAAAGAGCUCGUAGGCGGUUUGUUGCGUCGGCCGUGAAAACUUCACGCUUAACGUGGAGCCUGCGGUCGAUACGGGCAGACUUGAGUUCGGCAGGGGAGACUGGAAUUCCUGGUGUAGCGGUGAAAUGCGCAGAUAUCAGGAGGAACACCGGUGGC